rnacentral:rRNA from 1 species
UGGGGAAUAUUGGACAAUGGGCGCAAGCCUGAUCCAGCCAUGCCGCGUGAGUGAUGAAGGCCUUAGGGUUGUAAAGCUCUUUCGACGGGGACGAUAAUGACGGUACCCGUAGAAGAAGCCCCGGCUAACUUCGUGCCAGCAGCCGCGGUAAUACGAAGGGGGCUAGCGUUGCUCGGAAUCACUGGGCGUAAAGGGCGCGUAGGCGGACGUUUAAGUCAGAGGUGAAAGCCCAGGGCUCAACCCUGGAAUGGCCUUUGAUACUGGACGUCUUGAGUCUGGUAGAGGUUGGUGGAACUGCGAGUGUAGAGGUGAAAUUCGUAGAUAUUCGCAAGAACACCGGUGGCGAAGGCGGCCAACUGGACCAGAACUGACGCUGAGGCGCGAAAGCGUGGGGAGCAAACAGGAUUNGAUACCCUGGUAGUCCACGCCGUAAACGAUGGAUGCUAGCCGUUGGCCGGUUUACCGGUCAGUGGCGCAGCUAACGCGUUAAGCAUCCCGCCUGGGGAGUACGGCCGCAAGGUUAAAACUCAAAUGAA